rnacentral:rRNA from 1 species
GACAGAGGGUGCAAACGUUGUUCGGAAUUACUGGGCGUAAAGCGAGUGUAGGCGGUUUGGUAAGUCGGAUGUGAAAGCCCCGGGCUCAACCCGGGAAGUGCACUCGAUACUGCCAAGCUAGAGUAUCGGAGAGGUUGGUGGAAUUCUCGGUGUAGAGGUGAAAUGCGUAGAUAUUGGGAAGAACACCGAUGGCGAAGGCAGCCAUCUGGACCGACACUGACGCUGAGGCGCGAAAGCGUGGGGAGCAAACAGG